UAAAAAUUUUAUAUUAGUUUAUUUAUUAAGUAUUAUUUUUUAUUAUAUGUAAAUUUUUGUUAGAAAAUAAAAUUGCAGUAAUUAAAUUUAAAUAUUCAAGUAAUUGGGAUUUAGAAAUAAUAAAUAAUAUAAACAAAAUUUGUGCCAGCAGUUGCGGUUAUACAAAUUAUAUAAUUUAAUAGUGUUAAUUAUAAUUUAUUGUUUUAAAAAAAUUUUAAGUUGAAAUUUAUUUAGUGAAAUUUUAAAUUUCAUGAAAAAUUUAGUUAUCGAAUGUAUUAAAAAAUUUUAUUAAUAGACUAGGAUUAGAUACCCUAUUAUUUAAAAUGUAAUUAUUAAAAUUAAAUUAUUAUUAGUUAUGUUCUUGAAAAUUAAAAAAUUUGGCGGUAUUUUAGUCUUUUCAGAGGAACCUGUUUUAUAAAUGAUAUUCCACGAUUUAAUUUACUUUUUUUAUUAACUUAUAUAUCGUCGUAGUUAAAUAUUUUUAAAGAAUUAAAAUGUUUAAGAUUUUUAUAAAAAAAAAUUUCAGAUCAAGGUGUAGUUUAUAGAAAAGAAAAAAUGGGUUACAAUUAUUAUAUUUAUAGGAUUUAUAUUAUUAUUAAUAUAUUAAAUUUGGAUUUGAAAGUAAUUUUAAUUAAUUAAUUAAAAUGAUUUGAGCUCUAAAAUAUGUACAUAUUGCCCGUCGCUUUCAUUUAAAAUGAAAUAAGUCGUAACAAAGUAGAUUUACUGGAAAGUGAAUCUAGAUUCAA
rnacentral:ncRNA from 1 species